AUGAAAGUUGCUCAGAACGACGAGACGAACCCGGAUACGCAGCCCGUUCGUCCACCACACACCUCUAACAUACCAAACACGCAACUUUCCCCCUCCGGUUCAUCUGUCCGAAAACGCGAAACCCCGGGAAUACUUUCCCGGAUGUUUUCCCCCUUCGUCGGUAUCACCUACUACCGCGAUUGGGCACACCGAACACCGCGUAUUGCCUUGAUAUAUUUUGUGGUGCUUUGUUUGCUCUGUAUUCAUUAUUUCUUCCCCCUCUUCUCUCCGGUAGACUACGAGACCGACGCUGCUGCUGACCAGUUCGACUACGGAGUUGACGACCCCUCUCUCUUGCCAGAGCAACCAGGCAAGCCCCCCCUUUGA
rnacentral:rRNA from 1 species